AUCUUGGUUCCCUUCCUACUGUAGGAUUUGUCAUUCGUGGUGGCUGUGCCCUCUGCCUCUAGGAGCACCCAAUGUUCAGCUUAGGGUCGGACAGGCCCUUUGGUCACUUCUGGGCAGGUCUCUAGCCACGGCUGCCGGAGGGGGUGAGUGGAUCAAAGAGUGGACCUCUGGGCGACAGUGCCCCAGGAGGUCAUGGAGAGCCUUGACGCACUGCAGCGCUCUCCUGGAAGCCUCCCGACACCUUCACACCACGGGCCUUUCUCGGGAGUUCGUGCUUCUGCCCGCCGCAGGUGACCCGCAGAGUCCGAUGUCCCCCCGACCUCUUCAGGCUUCCCUUCUUCCUGAGGCCUGGGGAUCCUCCCGGAUAGCGCCUAUCUGUAUCUCCCGAUUCCCGUUCCUUCCCCUAGCUCCCCACCCCACUCCCCGCCCUGCACCCCAUCCAGGGUCUGUGAACCCAGGCGGGUGGCUGCGACACCGCGCUGACCUGCAGCAAGCAGCCACUGCGGAGCGUCGGGG
ensembl:lncRNA